GCAUAUCAAUAAGCGGAGGAAAAGAAACCAACAGGGAUUGCCCUAGUAACGGCGAGUGAAGCGGCAACAGCUCAAAUUUGAAAUCUGGCUCUUUUAGAGUCCGAGUUGUAAUUUGCAGAGGGCGCUUUGGCUUUGGCAGCGGUCCAAGUUCCUUGGAACAGGACGUCACAGAGGGUGAGAAUCCCGUACGUGGUCGCUAGCUAUUGCCGUGUAAAGCCCCUUCGACGAGUCGAGUUGUUUGGGAAUGCAGCUCUAAAUGGGAGGUAAAUUUCUUCUAAAGCUAAAUACUGGCCAGAGACCGAUAGCGCACAAGUAGAGUGAUCGAAAGAUGAAAAGCACUUUGGAAAGAGAGUCAAACAGCACGUGAAAUUGUUGAAAGGGAAGCGCUUGCAGCCAGACUUGCUUGCAGUUGCUCAUCCGGGCUCUUUUGCCCGGUGCAUUCUUCUGCAGGCAGGCCAGCAUCAGUUUGGGCGGUGGGAUAAAGGUCUCUGUCACGUACCUCUCUUCGGGGAGGCCUUAUAGGGGAGACGACAUACCACCAGCCUGGACUGAGGUCCGCGCAUUUAUGCUAGGAUGCUGGCGUAAUGGCUGUAAGCGGCCCGUCUUGAAACACGGACCAAGGAGUCUAACAUCUAUGCGAGUGUUUGGGUGUCAAGCCCGAACGCGUAAUGAAAGUGAACGGAGGUGGGAACCCGCAAGGGUGCACCAUCGACCGAUCCUGAUGUCUUCGGAAGGAUUUGAGUAAGAGCAUGGCUGUUGGGACCCGAAAGAUGGUGAACUAUGCUUGAAUAGGGUGAAGCCAGAGGAAACUCUGGUGGAGGCUCGCAGCGGUUCUGACGUGCAAAUCGAUCGUCAAAUUUGGGCAUAGGGGCGAAAGACUAAUCGAACUAUCUAGUAGCUGGUCUGCGA
rnacentral:rRNA from 1 species